UUUAUUUUAAUAAAUGUGUAUGUACAAAGCAUAAUUGUAUAAAAUAUGCUUAUAAUAUAUACAAAUGGCAUAAGGCACACAAGACAUGUAUAUGCCUUAAACACUCAGAAAUCGCAUACACAAAUUUAAAAAUGUAUGAAAGGCUUCCAUUUCCUCACUAAACGGAGUUGUAUAAAGUACAAAUCCAAAUUGUAUAAUUUAGGUCAAGUUAUCAGAUUUGGAGACAUUAGCCAACUUCGAGAUAGUGACAGAUUGACUAUUUUAACAAACUUUACAAUUCAGAUUUUCAUUCACAAAAAUUCUUAGUGAAUAACCCACCUGUCUCACAGUUUUAGUUUGUUUUGCCCUUUCUGAGAGAAUCUUAAAUGUUAAAUAUUUUCCCCACUUAUAACUUUGAAUUACAUUGUCAUAAUGAAUAAGGCAGGUAUAAAAACCUUUUUGCUGAACGGUUUGUUCCCAGUCAGGCCCUGGCUUACAGUAUCCACCGCGGGCUGGUACUGAUGCCUGUGUGUGCUCCCUCACGAUCCUGGACCGAAAGGGAUGUUUUACCUACUUGGCUUCCAGGAAAAGAGACACUUUCACAUUCAUUGAUUGAAUAUUUAAAAACUGGCACACUAAACACCAUACCCUGGGCAGCCCGAUUUAAUCAUUAUGGAGCCAAGCGUGCUUUGGUACCCUCCCAGUGGAAGGCACCAUGAUUUGACAAUUUCCAUGUGUCCCCCAGACACCAGAGUCUUCUCCUGCAGGAGAUACCAGGUGUUUUCAGAGCUAAAUCACAGCCUGCAAGGAGAAACCAGAAGCAGGUACCUGGUGGGACCUAGUUAUGUUUAAACUGUUCUAAAACCAUAUGAACAAUUACAUUAUGACGACACCAGGGUAGUCCUGGCACCAUAACCACUACAGCAGGAUGUAGUGGUUAUGAUUAUCUAGAUCAGGGGUCCUCAAACU